rnacentral:rRNA from 1 species
GAUGAACGCUGGCGGCGUGCCUAAUACAUGCAAGUCGAGCGAACGGAUAAGGAGCUUGCUCCUUUGAAGUUAGCGGCGGACGGGUGAGUAACACGUGGGUAACCUACCUAUAAGACUGGAAUAACUUCGGGAAACCGGAGCUAAUGCCGGAUAACAUUUGGAACUGCAUGGUUCUAAAGUAAAAGAUGGUUUUGCUAUCACUUAUAGAUGGACCCGCGCCGUAUUAGCUAGUUGGUAAGGUAACGGCUUACCAAGGCAACGAUACGUAGCCGACCUGAGAGAGUGAUCGGCCACACGGGAACUGAGACACGGUCCAGACUCCUACGGGAGGCAGCAGUAGGGAAUCUUCCGCAAUGGACGAAAGUCUGACGGAGCAACGCCGCGUGAGUGAUGAAGGUUUUCGGAUCGUAAAACUCUGUUAUUAGGGAAGAACAAAUGUGUAAGUAACUGUGCACAUCUUGACGGUACCUAAUCAGAAAGCCACGGCUAACUACGUGCCAGCCGCCGCGGUAA